rnacentral:rRNA from 1 species
CUACGGGGGGCAGCAGUGAGGAAUAUUGCACAAUGGGGGGAACCCUGAUGCAGCAACGCCGCGUGGAGGAUGACGCAUUUCGGUGUGUAAACUCCUUUUAUAUGUCAAGAAAAUGACGGUAGCAUAUGAAUAAGCACCGGCUAACUCCGUGCCAGCAGCCGCGGUAAUACGGAGGGUGCAAGCGUUACUCGGAAUCACUGGGCGUAAAGGACGCGUAGGCGGGUUGGAAAGUCAGGUGUGAAAUCCUACAGCUUAACUGUAGGACUGCACUUGAAACUUCUAAUCUAGAGCAUGGGAGGGGGAGAUGGAAUUAGUGGUGUAGGGGUAAAAUCCGUAGAUAUCACUAGGAAUACCUAAAGCGAAGGCGAUCUCCUGGAACAUUACUGACGCUAAGGCGUGAAAGCGUGGGGAGCAAACAGGAUUAGAUACCCCAGUAGUC